GGGAUGUUUGCCUGGAAAACGGGAAAGUUAAUAACAAUUGAAAUAUAAAUAAGAAAUACCCAAUUUAGUAAAGAUGGAGAAAAAGUAUGUAUUACAAAUCUUUAACAAUCAAUGGUUUGAGGGGAAAGUCUUUGAAAGCCUUGUUGGUAGAAUUUGCAAAUUUCCAUGGUGUAAAAACUUCCUUUGUGGCUUAUUUCAUGUUUUAAGAAUGGGGGAUGCAAAGAUGUGGAUACCCACUAUGCCCAGUUAGACAACUUAGGAGGCUUCGGCACACAGUCAAUAGUGCCCCAACUCUCAGAAAGGUUUCUGGUGAUGUUUUAGAUACAAAUCCCACAUUCUACAAUUUACUUUUCAUGAAGAGAGAGGCAUGAAGGCUGAGAUGUGUGUCAAACUAAGCUAAGGAGCAUUUACAUGCCAUCUGUGUGCACUGUGCCCUAGACAGUACAGCAGUCUGUGGGAACUCCAUAUGAGAUAAUGCUGUGUGAUAAAACACUGAGGGAAUCAAAAGGAAAAAAUGUUUUCUUUCCGUAUGAAAUAAUAGCACCAAACUGAAGAGGACAAAAGCUCAAACUUCACUUUUGAUAUUGUAAGCCUGUGAAUUUAUGUGGCUAGUAGGAUGGUUGUAAACAUACAUUGCAGAUUAUCUUUCUGUACAUAAAUACCCCAUAACUUUCUGUUGUUCAAGCCCAAAACCUCAGCUAUUCUCUGGAGAAAAAUAUUACGCUAUUCACUUGCUCAUAUAAAUCUUGCUCAGGCCUUAGCAGCAAGCUGUCACGACAGUCCUAUCAUCAAGGCUGACCAAAGUGUAGGUUGUAUUUUAGGUAACAACUAAUUUACAUCUGAACUUCAUUAACUUUAGGGUGAAGUGAAAUUUCCAUCUUAAUUAGAAAAUAACUAAAAACCAUGAAAUGUAGAGAAUACAAAUACAAAAUGUAUUAGACAUAGAUUCUCGAAAUUCAGUAUUUUGUUUAAAUCAAAUCAGCUAAGGGACUGAGUACACCUGAACUCCAGGAGCCAUUUGUGACACCCUGGGUCUAGCUUAAUCUACCAGUUAGUGUUAGACUAACAGUAACAAAGGCUGGCAAUUGCCCAUGUAUGUCUGACACCAAAUGGAGGAUAUAAUUUGCAGAUGCUAUAUGCACUAAUUCAUGUCUUUGAAAUCCUUGGCUCUAAAAACUUUGGAUACAUAUGUCAGGAGCCAACCCCACUUAUAUACCCUCUGUUUCAGGUAUGUUUCAGGAAUGUCAAGUCGACUUACACACUCUGAGAAACCUAGCAAGUUAUCUGUUCUCAUCAGUAAACCUGCAAUUUAUGGUUUAGGGUUACAGGAACCAAAAAACAAUGACGGAGGUUGGGGUGAUGCUGACCAUCAUGAAAUUGGUCUUGGGCUCUGCAUGUCCUUCCCACUUGCUUGCUUGUCUUUGUAAGCCACUUCCCAGAAAUAAAGUUUGAGAGCUUGAUCUGAAUAAAAAAAGCCAUCUUUUCUCAGGAUGAAAAAGUUCUAUUGUCUUUUUAUAACCUAUUCAGUCACAAAAUACAUGAGGUACACAAACCUACCUAUAUACAAAACAAAACAAAACAAAACAUAAAAAACACAAACAUAUACAUAAAAUUAAAAUUCAUAAAAAUGUUUGUCUUUUUCCAUCUUUAUAUAAAUUGGGCAUUUCAUUUUUACAUUUCAAAUGCUAUUCCCUUUCCUGAGUUUGUUAAUCUGUGUCUUUUUAUUGGGGAAUUGAGUCCAUAGAUGUUGAGAAAUAUUAAGGAAUAGUGAUUGUUGAUACCUGUUAUCUUGGUUUUUGGAGGUGAGAGUAUGUUUGUGUGCUUGUCUUCUCUCUCUUUUUUUUGUUGCAAAACGAUUAGUUUCUUGCUUUUUCUAGGCUGUAGCUUGCCUACUUGUAUUGGGAUUUACCAUUUAUUAUCCUUUGUAUGGCUGGAUUUGUAGAAAGAUAUUGUGUAAAUUUGGUUUUGUCAUGGAAAAUUUUGGUUUCUCCAUCUGUGUUAAUUGAGAGUUUUGCUGGAUACAGUAACCUGGGCUGGCAUUUGUGUUCUCUUAGUGUCUGUAUGACAUCAGUCCAGGAUCUUCUGGCCUUCAUAGUCUCUGGUGAGAAGUCUGGUGUGAUUCUGAUAGGUCUGCCUUUAUAUGUUACUUGACCUUUUUCCCUUACUGCUUUUAAUAUUCUUUCUUUGUUUUGUGCAUUUGGUGUUUUGACUAUUAUGUGACAAGAGGAGUUUCUUUUCUGGUCCAAUCUAUUUGGAGUUCUGUAGGCUUCUUGGAUGUUUAUGGGCAUCUCUUCCUUUAGUAUAGAGAAGUGUUCUUCUAUGAUUUUGUUGAAGAUAUUUACUGGUCCUUUGAGUUGGGAAACUUCACUGUCUUCUAUACCUAUUAUCCUUAGGUUUGAUCUUCUCUUGUGUCCUGGAUUUCCUGUAGGUUUUCUGCCAGUAGCUUUUUCUCUUUUACAUUAUCUUUGACAGUUGUGUCAAUGCUUUCUAUGGAAUCUUCUGCUCCUGAGAUUCUCUCUUCUAUCUCUUUAUUGUUUCGAUUUCAAUUUUCAAUUCCUUCCCCUGUUUGAUUGUGUUUUCCUGUAAUUCUUUUGGGAAAUUUUGUAUUUCCUCUCUAAGGGC
ensembl:lncRNA